GUUGCUGGGAGCAGGCAGCUUGCUAGUGUGUGUGUGAGUGUGUGUAUGUGUGUACACCUGCCUGUGCACCUGUGUAUAUGUAUGCAUACGUGCAUAUACAUUCAUGGGCGUACAUGCAUGCACACACCCCCACGUGUCGAGAACAUGUGCACGCAUGUGUACAUGCACAUAACACACGUGCACACACAUGCAGGUGUGUUUAUGUACACACAGACACGUUUGUGCGUGCAUGUGUUUAUGCACACGUGCACUUGCAUGCAUGUGCAAAUACAUGUGUAUCACAAACAUGUGAACGUGUGUACAUGCAUGUACGUGUGUGCAUGUAGGUGUGUACGUGUAUGUGUGUGUGUGUGCACGAGCAUGUGUGUGUGUAUACUCAGGUGUUUACUCCGUGUGGAGGCUGGGGAUGGAGUGGAACUGGCGUCUUUCCCACCAGCCUGGUUGUGGGCUGGUGAGUGUUUCAAGGCAAGCUGAAUCGGCCCCUGCAGAGCGAGGCGAGUCCCUCCUCUGGGAGGAGGGCUUUGCUGUUGUUGAUGAGAGCAGGUGCAGGAGACAGGUGGCCCUGGAGGCAACGUCCCUGGCACUCUCCAGGGUGUUUCCUUGGGAGAGCUAUGCAGCCUGAGUCUCCUUUCUCGUCAGUCUGCUGAGGCAGUGGGGCGACACUGCUGUCUCCAUUCCUUUCUGCUUCCUUCCUGAAAGGGCCUUGAUUUUCUCUGAGGUGGCAGUGUCCUAACUGAGAGCACAGACCCUCCAGCUGCCCUCGCAGCUCGGUGGCCUUGUGAGUAAUUUUUGGCCAGGAGGUAUAGACAAGAGGGUCCAGAAAGAGCCGCGCUUCCUGGUUAGAGAGGUUUAGGGUCCUACCCUCUUCUUCCUGCCUGAAAUCAGGUGUGUUGCAUGGGGGUGCAGCAGCCGUCUUGCAAACAGGAGGUGAGAGCCCAGGCUGAGGAUGGCGGGCGGGGAUGAAGCAGGACACAGUUCUUGGCUGAUGUCCUAGAGCUGGUUUUCUGUGUGUUGCAGCCUCACACACUCCUAACAGGGACAGAGCAUCAACCCCCUCUUCACCUGGGGAUUCUGGGGUCUGGAGCCUGUAGGGGCUGGCAUGUGGGUGUGCGCCCUCCUCCCUCUGCACUCUGAGAGGGCACCAGGGACUUGUCCUCAGAGGCACACACGCAGGUGGCUCUCGAGACAGUCAGAGCCCUGCUGGCCAUGGCUGCCUCUCGUGAGAGGCCGGCUGUCCGCUCAGAGGAGAAGGAUGAGGGGGAGGGGUGGGGGACAGCCUGGACUGACCUCCUGUUGAGAGGCAGCUCUAGGUCACAGGGAGUAGGCCACUCAUCUGAGACCAGGUGCAACCUGGAACCAUGGGGCCCACACCUGUCCCCACCCGGCUCCCACCCGGUGCCCUCUGUAAGGCGAGGAUGAGAUCCUGAGUUGGGGCUGUGCAGAGACGGGAGUGUGGGGCUGCGGGGCCCUGCCUCCACAGCCCAACGAGGUGGGACCGGGAGCCUGCACAGGCGGCAGGUGGGCAGGUGGGCAGAGGGGACAGCAUCCUUCUUCAUAAGGUGGGGCAGCCAGUCCUGAGAGCCUGGCCCUGACAGGACCGCUCUCUCCUCCUUCACAUCCAAGACCUGGCUGGACAUCCCCUAGUGGACGCUCCUGGGGACCUUCAGCCCACCCACAUGUGUCAGGUCCUUCCUGCUUGGGGCAUGAAGUGGAAACAGGAAAAGGGCAGGGUGAGGCCGCCCUGUCCCCUCACUGGCUGUCAGUCCCUCCUAGGGACACAGCUGUGGCCCCUGCCCGCACAGCAGGGAAGCCAGACCACCUGGAGUUGCGUCCUUGCCCUGCAAGCUUGGCAACCCCCCACGCCAUGAGCCUCUGCGUCCUCAUUUGUGAUGGGGAGGCUGUGUGGAGGGCUGCACGGCACUCCCAGGCGGGACCCUGACCCAGUGCCCGACGUCCCGGACGGGUGCUCGUUACCUCUACCGUCUGCUUGCAGCCCUCUUUUGCACCAGGAUCUGAGGCUCAGAGGAGAGGAGGCGGCUGCCUGGGAUGUGACUCGGCUGAUCCGACUGGGUGAAGUAAACUGGAGCAUCCUUUUUGGCUCCUCUGGGGCUAGGGGACAGAAGACGAAGCGCAGAGCCUGGCCGUGUCAAGGGUCCAAGGAAAGACCGCCUCUGUGAAUCCAGGAUUCUCAGGGCCCCACCUCACCAUCAAGCUGAAGCCUUGUUCAGCCUGGCCACACACGAGGCGGGAAGCAAUUGGAGUCACAGUCAGGGGAGGGCUGCCCCGACCGUCGAGGCUUGCACGGUACGCACCCACUUUGCAGCGAUGAUGAGGACGGCUGUGCCGAUGGGGCCGGAGUACACCCCGUAGCCCCAGCGGUCAUGGUAGAUCCGCACGGCGAUGGUCAGGACGCCGAACAUCACAAAAGUCGACCUCUUGGGUUCGUCGAAAUCGGCUAGCGCUGCGGGCCCGGGAGAGAA